AUUCAAUUCAAAUGAUAGACAAGAUCAACAGUUUUACCAGAUUUAACAACUUAACGUUCAAUUGAUGUAUAAGGGUGAUUCGAGGUCCUCGACAUUUAAUUAUUCAAUCUUCUAGAUGUCCACAUUAAGACAAACAAGAUCGAUUUUGAUUCAAAACUUGUGCCCAGAUUAUCUAGGGCAUUACUCCACUGGUGAUUUUAUUAAAACUAUAUACAGGCAGAUUAACAGUCCUACUUAAAAUGACCAACUAUUUUAAGCUAUUUCUAAUUGCAUUACCAAUCCAGCACUAUAUACUCAAACUAUUCAUUGCUUAAACUAUGAACUACUGAAGUUGAUUAUGAGAUUCAAAGUCAUUUAGGAUAUGUUUUCAUAACUAUGAAAAUCGAAACAAACAUCACAGUUCUAAGCAUUCUAAGAAAAACAGUCCAGUCCAAUUAAAUUAUACAAUCUGAGAUUUAUGCAUAUACAAAUCAACAUCGAACUAACAUAUCAUUUAAAAUCUAUAUUGACUAUGAAGUAUGACAGUCCAAACAGAUGCAAUUUAUGGAAGAUGCUUAUUUCAUUUCCACUUCAAAAGCUGCAGUAGAUCAAAAUGUGUACCUGGAGUUAGAACAUAGAAUGAAGAAGAAGUAGAGGUCAGCUGCAGUAGUAGGAACAUGCAACAAUAAUUGGAGUUCAAACAACCAAAAUUAAACCAAGGCUUAACCCAGAAAUGGACCAGGAACUCAGAAAUGCUUUAUAACCAACCGGAGAAAAGAGAUCCUACCAAAAUAAUAUCUAUCAAACCCCAAAUAACCUAAAAAAUGGCCCCAGAAAUACACACAACAAUACAGCACCCAGAAUGAUCCUAAAACCACUCGAAGACAACCAUAAACAGAUCUAAACUUCAAACGCUAGAAACUAAGCUAAAGGAUCAACCCAACUACUAUAACUCGAAAUUAAACUAGGAAAACUAAAUAGAACAGUAUUUCUUUUUGAUGUUCUUGUUUGGAAUUGUUUGCUUUUUUGGAUUUUUAAUAUGAAGAAAAUGAAAUCUUAAACUUGAAAGAGCAAAGGAAAUCUGAUGUCCGAAAGUAUUUUGAAAUUUCCAGGGUCCGUAAAACUUGUUAAAGAAGGCAUUGGGGUUGCCUUUUAUAGGCAACAAAAUAGGGUAAAAAGUUCUAGAAGGCACUCACACAUUUUCCCUCUUUUUAAAAAACAGAUUUCACCUAUGAGUCCCUUAAUUUCUGACUUGCUUCUCAAGUUAAUGCUCUAAGUUUACUGAAUCACUCACUAAAGUCCUAUUCUAGAAGGCGAAUUAGGUUUCACCUAUGAGUCCCUCAAUUUCUGACUUGUUUCUCAAGUUAAUUCCUAAGAUUUCAGAAAUGUGCACUAAAGCCCUAUUCUAGGAUAAUCUUUGAGCUGUACAAUUCUUAAGCUACAACAUUAACCUAUUUUAAAAUUACAAAACCUAAAGAUUCUGCCCUUUUCUAUCACUAAAAAGCCCUUGACCAUCCCCUAAAAUUACUACUUUCCAAACUUCACCCAAACCAUACCCUAUUUAAACUAACUAUGGUUUUCCAUCAGUACACUAAUCAACUAAUGAUCAAACCACCAAUAAACAUUUCUACUACUGGACAAAAUCCCAAAUUAACUCAACUGAAAUGUAACAAUAUUCAAAUACUGACUGAAAUCUAAGAUUACUUAAACCAAAUUAAAGAAAGAAACCCAUUCAUUUCUACUCAACCAAAAGCUUAGCAGAAGCAUUCACAGAAAAGGAAAAAUACGAGGCAAAAUACAACCAAAACAGUCAGGACAACUACCAAUUGAAAUAAAGAUAACAUAAAACUAAAACGCAAAAUUCGAACAUUAGAAGGAAGAGAAGAACAAUAUACAGAAAUCAGCUAUUUCAGGAUUAAAAAUGGCAUUUGAAAUUAAUACGAAUAAAAUCUAAUUGAGUCGAAUUAUUCUUUCUAACUAGGGAUAAAUACUGAACGAGAAAGUAAUAACUUCUUUAUGAACCUAUUCUAAGAAACAUGAAAAACCAGGAGAUAAAAGAUUAAAGAGAAGAGAAGAAAUUUCCACUAAAGUCUCCCUAGGGCCCAGUUAACAGAGGAGAAGACGAAGAUGAAGUUAUCAAUUAUAUUAAUUAAGUCGUAAAGCUAAAUGAGAACUCACCGGAAGAAAAUUUUUCCCAAAUAGAAGCUAGACUGAUGAACCCUAGAUUUGAAAUCCGCCCAAUUCCACUUUGAUUCGAAGGGUUUUGGUAAGGUAUUAGGGUGAGGGAUGUCAGGAGAUCAUGGGGUGUGGCUUUGGGCGAGUUUGGGUGACUUUGUGUCUUCAGCCGGAUUUUUAAACUAAGAUUCGAGGGAAAUUAUUAGCAUAUCUGGAACGGGGAGGUUGAGGAGAAUAAGGGGUGUAAAUUUGGUAGCAUUUGGCAUCGGCACCGCCACCCUAGGGCGGUGGGAUUUUGUGGCGGAGCUAUUAGGGUUCAAUGGAGAGGGGUGCUGUGAAGGUUACGAGUUUGG
rnacentral:lncRNA from 1 species